rnacentral:lncRNA from 7 species
GAUGGAAGCUGUGGUGUGGUGUAAGAAGAGAAACAUGAAGAAGGCCGUGCGCAGGGGCCUGCUCCCUCUGCUCUUUCAGAUGAGCGACGAGACCCCGAGCGUAGCACAGGCAUCUGGGGAAGCCCUCGUGGCGUGUGCCAAGUUCCUGAAGUGGAAGGAGCUCAAGCACCAGGCCCGGGAGGAGAACACAGUGGGGAUCAGGAUGUGUUUGGUAAGGACAAUCACACAGCCCCCACCUUUUAGCUGGGGGAAAGGGGAUGCUGGCAGGAGGGGUUGCACCAGCAGCAGCCGGGGAGGCUCUGCAAGCCCCAUGCUUUUCUGCUCUUCUCCAGCUGCAGCAGGACAGGAGGAGAGUGGAAGGCUACCUGUGGCAGAGCCUGCCAUAUCUGGAGGAUUCUCAGGCCUCCCUGCGAUGCGAGGCUGUCACAUUCCUUGGGCUGGCUGUGCAGCACUCCAGGGAACAAAGUGAGGAAAUGCUGAAUGAAAUCUGCAAUGGUGAGUGUGCGCAGUGCUGUGUGUGCUGGGCAGGUGGGGCACUCCUGAGCAGUGGCUUCCAGCUGGUCUCUCAGUCUCACGUGCUCCUCCUGGCCUGGAAGAACAAUGAGGAGGGCUGGCACAGUCCGGAGGGGAUGCCGCUUGGUCUCUGCAGGUGCGUGGGUUUCAUCUCUGCUCUCUUCCCUUCUGUUGCAGCCCUUCAGCCUUUGGAAGAUGACGCCCAUCCGGCAGUCCGUUCCCUGGCAGCUGGGACAAUCCAGAUGCUGAGACAUGAAAGGCAGCAGGCGGCAUCAGCACGGAGCAGGCUCGCAGCGCUUUGCUGCUGGCCCUGCAUCGCCAUCUGA